GUGCCAGCCGCCGCGGUAAUACGGAGGGUGCAAGCGUUGUUCGGAAUUAUUGGGCGUAAAGCGCGUGUAGGUGGUCGGGUAAGUCAGAUGUGAAAGCCUUCUGCUUAACAGAAGAAGUGCAUUUGAAACUGCUCGGCUAGAGUACGGGAGAGGAGAGUGGAAUUCCCGGUGUAGAGGUGAAAUUCGUAGAUAUCGGGAGGAACACCAGUGGCGAAGGCGGCUCUCUGGUCCGAUACUGACGCUGAGACGCGAAAGCGUGGGGAGCAAACAGGAUUAGAUACCCCUGUAGUCC
rnacentral:rRNA from 1 species